AUUGAACGCUGGCGGAAUGCUUUACACAUGCAAGUCGAACGGCAGCACGGACUUCGGUCUGGUGGCGAGUGGCGAACGGGUGAGUAAUGUAUCGGAACGUGCCCAGGCGUGGGGGAUAACGUAGUGAAAAUUACGCUAAUACCGCAUACGAUCUAUGGAUGAAAGCGGGGGAGCGCAAGACCGCGCGCGAUUGGAGCGGCCGAUAUCAGAUUAGGUAGUUGGUGGGGUAAAGGCCCCCCAAGCCAACGAUCUGUAGCUGGUCUGAGAGGACGACCAGCCACACUGGAACUGAGACACGGUCCAGACUCCUACGGGAGGCAGCAGUGGGGAAUUUUGGACAAUGGGCGAAAGCCUGAUCCAGCCAUUCCGCGUGCAGGAUGAAGGCCCUCGGGUUGUAAACUGCUUUUGUACAGAACGAAAAGGUUUCUACUAAUACUAGGAGCUCAUGACGGUACUGUAAGAAUAAGCACCGGCUAACUACGUGCCAGCAGCCGCCGCAG
rnacentral:rRNA from 1 species